AAUCAGCAGGGCUAAUCAAACAAAUCAAAACAAACAGACGUUUUAAAUUGACUGGAAAAGCCAUGCCGACGUUCAAACGAGAGCUCGUUUCCCCUUUGCAGCACACUUCCUCUGCCUUCGGAGGUAGGGAGGCAAACACUGGGCCUGAAAAGGCCGUUUAAGAGGAGCGUUUGAAGUUUUAUUUCCUCGCUGAUCGUUUGGACGGAUAAGAACUGCGCUGUUUGUUUAUUCAGACGGCAGCAAUUUCCCCCCCCCCCCGGGGUAAAACCAGUCUGUCUGUCACCUUAAUGCCCCUCAAUAAACACAAGGUGUACAGAAACCGAAUAAGAGUGAACUUUACUAUGGGUUUCCUCAAAUUAUUUGGUCUUAAUUCGCACCCCUUCAAUUAAAAUCAGAUGGGAUGAAGAUCCUCUAUGAAGAAACAUAAUCCGCCUAAUCCGUCGCGCGCUUUCCGCCAAAUUCACACCUGUUCGAGCGCGCGGUGCUCUUUAACGAUACAGAACGCGCACGAGUCAGAGAAUCAACUCAGCGUCUUAUGGCUAAAGUUAAAGGAGAAAACAUGCCACUUAAAUCACUCGCAUAUGGAGCCACGGCAGCGUGAUACAAGACGAAAAACAUCAGGGGAAUGAAUCCAAAAACGAAGCUAGCCUAUAUUAUAGCCUUCAACUUCUAUGCAGUUGAAAUGUCAGACUUGUGGUAGCACUGAGCGACAGGGUAUGAGCCGGUUAAAUCAUGAGUGUCCAUGAACCUUGUGCACUAAUGGUGUGUGAUACUGGUAUCUUGCAGCCAAAUAUUUUUACACUAAUGGAAUCUCAUAGUAUAUGACUUACUCAUUGAGGAUUAAAUUAAGUUUAUGAUCCCUAGCCCAUGAUCUCACUGUUUUAUUUUUAUGUUGUGUUUCUUAAUUGUAAUGAUGUUUUCACCCAUUCUUUUUGCACUCUUUGUUGCAAACCUAAUUUUCCCCAAUGGAGCAAUAAAGUUUGAUUGAUGUGCCAUACUUGUCAGCAAUUAAUAGCUUGGCUUUGGCACAGUUGGUGGCAAGAUCCCCUUGCAUUUCCCUUCAUCCCCCUCUGUGUUCCUUUUGAUUACUGCACGCUCACAAUCCACUUAUCUGGAGCCUUUUGAUCUAGUCACAUCAAAGAGAUUUAGUGAAGGAUCACUUUCACCAAAGAG